rnacentral:tRNA from 1 species
GGUUCCAUAGUGUAGUGGUUAGCAUGUCUGCUUUACACGCAUAAGGUCCUGGGUUUGCACCCCAGUGGAGCCA